GUGUAAUUUUGUUGCCAAUGGUCUUUGGAUCUAAUGGCAUCUCCUCUUCCCAUUAAGAAGUCUGGAAAAGAGGGGGAAAGAAAGAGAAGAAGAAGAAAAAGAAUAUCUUAAUGGGUUCUUGCAAGCGAGCAGCUAUUUGUAGGAAAUUAUGGAGGCAGGUAGCAGGCUAGCAGCAAUAAAAGACAAGGAGAAAAAUGGUCAUACUGACUUAAUAUUGAAAUGGCUUUAAGUAGCUUAAGGCAGGCAUUGCCCAUGCCCAGUCAUAUUUCUCUAUAUGGUGACAUCCUCUGAAGACCAUGAAUGCACUGCACGCACACUUGCAGUUGGUUAAGUUUUAGUAGACGGAUAUGGCAGGAAUUGAUGUCUAUUUGUCUCAUUCCGAAUCCUCCUGUUGACUGGGAAGAGGUGAUCCGGUGGUUUGUUCAAGAUUUGCAAGGGACAAGCUUGAAAGCUAAUGCUUGCAGGUUUAGUCUUGCUGCAGUUGUGUACCACCUUUGGUGGCAGAGAAAUGCCCUUCUGCAUGGCAACACCCCUAGAACGGAGGAAGAUAUAGUGAGCCAAGUCAAAAGGCAAGUUGGGUCUAGGCUAAGGGUUCAAAGCAAAGUAUUGGAAAGAAUCUUGCUCUUGCUUAUAACUGGAAUCUACAGAGUCUCAUUGGUUAUUAGUUUCUUGGGACUGGUUUGGUGUUUGGAACAGCAAUUGUUUUCCUGCUGUUUUGCUAUUUUGAGGGGUUUUGUCCCUGUUUUCAUUGUGCAGCAGGUGUUUAUGUGUUUUGUUGUUCUUAGUUAGGGGGUCUGUCCCUAACUAGUUGGUUUUUCAUCCAGAUUUUCUCUGUAGUGUACUUUUGGAGUGUUUGGUUAUAAAUGUUUAGUUCAUCCAAAAAAAAAACAAAAGAAAA